rnacentral:misc_RNA from 1 species
AAGUCGUAACAAGGUUUCCGUAGGUGAACCUGCGGAAGGAUCAUUAUCGAAAUAAACCUGAUGGGUUGUUGCUGGUUCUCUAGGGAAACAUGUGCACGCCUUGUCAUCUUUAUAUCUCCACCUGUGCACUCUUUGUAGACCUUUUCAGGUCUAUGUUGAUUCUUCAUUUACCCCCAACGUAUGUUGAUAGAAUGUCGUCCAUAAUGUAAUCUAUACAACUUUCAGCAACGGAUCUCUUGGCUCUC